UCAGUGGCGAACGGGUGAGUAACACGUGAGCAACCUGCCCCCGACUCUGGGAUAACCCCGGGAAACCGGAGCUAAUACCGGAUACGACACGCUCGGGCAUCCGAUGCGUGUGGAAAGAUUUAUCGGUUGGGGAUGGGCUCGCGGCCUAUCAGCUUGUUGGUGGGGUAAUGGCCUACCAAGGCGACGACGGGUAGCCGGCCUGAGAGGGCGACCGGCCACACUGGGACUGAGACACGGCCCAG
rnacentral:rRNA from 1 species